UAUAAUUAUUUUCAAUUUAAAUAUAGUUAUUAGCAAGGUUUAGUCCCACAUCGUAAUUAAUUUCAAUGUAACAUCCCUUUAUCAAUCCGUCGAUCGGCGACACUGUUGUCUCUUCGGAGACAUCCGAUAAAAUUGGAACGAUACAGAGAAGAUUAGCAUGGCCCCUGCGCAAGGAUGACACGCACAAAUCGAGAAAUGGUCCAAAUUUUUUUUCCGAUUCGCGUUCUCUUGUUCUCCAUUUGAUUUCCUAUCCUUUUGCUCUUCUCUGAUUUGAUUUCCCAGCCUCCCCUCUUCUGAUUCGGUUUUUGUUUUUGGUUUCUUUCUUAUUGGCUGGUUCUUUAUGAUUUAGGGUUUUGUGCUCCGUUUUUUCCCAUUCGUGUCCUAUUCCGACUCGCUUUCAUUUUUUGUUUCUUAUUGGCUGUUAAUCUGGUUCUUUAGGAUUUAGGGUUCUGUGCUCCUUUUUCUCCCAUUUGUGUUCUUAUUUUGGUUUGUUUUCCAUUUCUUUUUCUUUUUUUCUGCUGAAUUUUUUUCUCGCUCUCAGUACUGUUUUGUCUCCUUUGUGGUUUUUAAUCAAGUUCUCGUUUCUAUUUCUCUCUCUCGAUUUGUUUUGAUUCUUCUCCGGUUCUGGAAACCAGAGGACAUGGAUGGAUGGACUUCUGAGUUCGCUUCGCUUUAGAUCACAGCACCAUUCUUUACUCGCAUAAUGAGCAACGUUAUCAGUUACGGCGCCGGCUGAAUUGUUUUUUAUGUUAUCGACGGAUACUCUACUCUUCUUCUUGACUUGUUCGACUUGCGCACUCCCAUGAAUACUUGCUUCUGGUCGAAGACGGCGUUAUGUGUUGAUGGUAUUCGGACCUCUGAUUAACAUUGAGUUGAUGUUGUUGUAUCCAGGGUCCAUGAUUUGAUCACAUAGCCAGAAGAGCCUCUCAUCUUAUAUGUAUGAAAUGCCAGCACACUUGUACCGACCAUGCAGUGUCAUGCGUGUCGAAGAGCACUAAUUGCAUCAUUUGAUGCUGAAAUUACACUCAAUAUUGGUUGCGGAACAUACGAGGCAAAACUCUGUGCUACAGCAUAUCGAUUGUUAUUACUGUCAAGUGAUUGGCAUGUAUUCAUAUUUUUCCAAAAGAAAUUAUUGUGUUUCAUAUUUUGAAUCUUCCAAAUAAAUUUACGAGGUUUAUCCAUAGUAUAACAA